AUGAACGCUGGCGGCGUGCCUAAUACAUGCAAGUCGAGCGAACAGACGAGGAGCUUGCUCCUCUGACGUUAGCGGCGGACGGGUGAGUAACACGUGGAUAACCUACCUAUAAGACUGGGAUAACUUCGGGAAACCGGAGCUAAUACCGGAUAAUAUAUUGAACCGCAUGGUUCAAUAGUGAAAGACGGUUUUGCUGUCACUUAUAGAUGGAUCCGCGCCGCAUUAGCUAGUUGGUAAGGUAACGGCUUACCAAGGCGACGAUGCGUAGCCGACCUGAGAGGGUGAUCAGCCACACUGGAACUGAGACACGGUCCAGACUCCUACGGGAGGCAGCAGUAGGGAAUCUUCCGCAAAGGGCGAAAGCCUGACGGAGCAACGCCGCGUGAGUGAUGAAGGUCUUCGGAUCGUAAAACUCUGUUAUUAGGGAAGAACAAAUGUGUAAGUAACUAUGCACGUCUUGACGGUACCUAAUCAGAAAGCCACGGCUAACUACGUG
rnacentral:rRNA from 1 species